AUUAAGGGCACGCAGCCUCGUCGGGAUUAGCAGCGACUCUCUUGCAGGGAAAGGAUUGGGCGUGUUUUAACAAGAGCAACUUUUUCUGAUCGCUUUGGAGUAGCUUCUUAAAUGACCUUCUUGGCAGAAGUGAGAUCAGGAGUCUCUCUUUGGGUUGUGCUCAUGUUUUGGAUGAAGAAGGGACCAUGUGACUGCUUGGUGUAACACACAUGAGCAUCCACCAAAAGGCCUCUGUUCGUGGAAAAGCCUUCUUUAAAAUCUAUCAGCAGCGACGAGGGGAAAUCUUCCUUCAGAAUAACUCAGCUGACUCUCUGGACUGGAGGAAGGGGAAACGGGCCCACAAGUGGAUGUCCUGACAGUCGACAGCAUCUUUUCCUGCGGCGUAAAGGUUGCAUGUUGGCGUCUAGGAAGAGCCUUGAGAUGAAUCAUCAGCGACGUAUUUUCACACGACUUCCUGGAAACCAAGGUUGACGAUUAACUCGGGGACACGCUGGGUGUGGGUCUGCUGGCGUUGGAUGCUUUCACAUCCAAGGUUCAACAUGAAUGGUCUGAUUUCCAGGCGGUGUAUCCUGUGAGAGAAGCAGCUUUCAACAGCCAACCUGUAAAUAUCGGAUGUGUUUAAGUUUCCUUAAAGGCGCCGCAAAGGAAGA